rnacentral:rRNA from 1 species
AGAGUUUGAUCAUGGCUCAGAAUGAACGUUGGCGGCGUGGAUUAGGCAUGCAAGUCGAACGGAUUCGGCCUUCGGGCCGAGUCAGUGGCGGAAGGGUGAGUAAGGCGACGGUAACCAACCCCGAGAUUGGGUAUAGCCGCGGGAAACUGCGGGUAAUCCCCAGCGACGCGUCGGGCCGGCAUCGGCCUGACGUCAAAGCUCCGGCGUCUUGGGACGGGCUGUCGUGGUAUUAGGUAGUUGGCGGGGUAACGGCCCACCAAGCCUUCGAUGCCUACCGGGCGUGCGAGCGUGGCCCGGCACACUGGGACUGAGACACUGCCCAGACACCUACGGGUGGCUGCAGUCGAGAAUCUUCGGCAAUGGGCGCAAGCCUGACCGAGCGACGCCGCGUGGAGGAUGAAGGCCUUCGGGUUGUAAACUCCUGUCGAGGGGGAGGAAGGGGCACCUUGACCUAUCCUGGAGGAAGCACGGGCUAAGUUCGUGCCAGCAGCCGCGGUAAGAC